UGGGGAUUGGCCAAGCGGUAAGGCAACGGGUUCUGGUCCCGUGACCGGGGGUUCGAAUCCCUCAUCCCCAGCCA
rnacentral:tRNA from 1 species